AUUCAUUUACAAUUCCCAGCUGCAUAUACACAAGUCGAAAUGGUACAUAUCCAUCACCUCCUUUUAUUAUGCACACACAAACAUACAAUGUCAUGUAUACUACUGACGGCGCUGAAUAAAGAUUCUUCGGAUCCUUCUUUGACCAAGCCAUCGGUCGUAUGGUUGGGGAUGAAUUUGAAAAUCAGUAUGUUCAAGCAAGGAUGAUGGCAGUAGCGGCGUCCUCGUGGUGGACUUGCGUCCUCGGGCUCCGUCAUUGCAACGGCGUUUGCUCCAGCGUUGGCGCGGAGCUUGGGAGGUAGUCCAGGAGCGGAUGCAGAUUGUGGUUUGCAUCGACGACAUCUAGAAGACGAAACGUGUGCUGGGUCCGUGGUUCGUGGAUGGCAGGUAUGAUUUCCUCCUUCGGCGUCUUAGUCGUGGCGGGGUGCUAGAUCUGGAGUUCGAUGGCGUGUCCGGAGUGUUGCCCCGGUCUGAUUUGUUCAACGGUAAGAGCUUCACUUUUGAUGAGCCACAUUAGAAGUCCUCAGAGCUGCAUAUCAGCGAUGGAGUCGUGUGUUGAGUUUGGGUGAGGAGGUGAUCUUUUAUUCUUUCUUCGGUGGCUGUGGUGGUGCCAGAGACAGUGACGGGCGUUGGUGUCAUCUAACAUCUUUUCAGUUUUGUCAUGUCGGUCCUUACGUGACUUGUAGUUUUAUCUUUAUGAUACGGAUGAGACACAUAUCUUUCCCUAAUACAACCCAUUAACGGUGGCGCAAAGGGCGCAUCCUCGCGCAGUCCACGUCGGCAAGCUACUAGACAAAAAAAGAAACCAAUCGCCAUCCCCACCAGCACCCGUUCCCCAUCCCCAAUUCCUCCCCCUCUUCCUUCUCUGGACGACCUCCCCCGCAGACGCAGCCGCCGCCGCACAGCCUGCGCCUCCACCCAUUCUCUCCUCCCCUCCACCGCCAACCUCCUCCCAUUCCUCUCUCCCAGAUUGAGCAGCAGGUCCGGAUCAAUGGCCACGGUGGCGUGAGCGCCACGAUGCAUCACGGCCACGCAAGGAGGAAGCUCGAUGUGGAUCUGACCCUGGUGCCGACACCAUGAACAAGUCCUCGAUGCGGCCACCACGCAGCUGAUGGCUGCUGGAAAGCUGCGAGGAAGUCGCCGGCCAGACGAGGGCAAGGGCGCCGAGGAGGUUCUCCAGCCGGACGAGGGCAAGGGCCCGAUCUCCCUCAUGUUCCCAAUCUUCAGCGCGGCAACCAUCGACCAGAUCUUCACCACCUCAGAUACACUGUCUCUUCCCCAUGGGCCCGCUCAUGCAUGGUGAAGACCCCCUGCUCCGAGGUGGUGCCGUGGUCAAGAGGAGAAGCACAGGUCACCAACGUUGCCGAGCUUCUAUGGAACGACACGGCCUCUGCUUUAGUCCCUUCUGAUUUGCCUCCUCCCCUCUCUUUUCCACUCCGUUUUUUGAUUUGCCUGAACCUCGCGUGUUAGAUUAGUGACUGGUCUAAAUGGUUAUAUACCUAUGGAUAUCUGGAUUUCAGUUUCCUUACAUGUAUAGGAUGCUUGGUCUCUGCAAUUUAGCUUUCACUAUUUAAUAGUACAAAGCUAAUCUUGCUAUGAGCGAGCAUGUAUGCUUCAGAAAUAAUCAUCCUGGUUAAUAGAAUAGUUUACAAUCACAUUAAAGGUAAGCCAAGGUGAGUGUUUUGCAUACAAGAUGUUUGAUGUUAUGCCAAGGCAGGACAUUAUUGAUAUCGUGUGAAACUGAUGCUCACAGCAGAUUCAGGAGAUAAAAAAUGAGUAGAAUAAUAUAUCAACAAAAGUAGACUGAUCCAAGUUUUAUUUUUGUAUCAGAAUAUGGAUGGAGGAUGGGGAAUACAUGCAGAAGGCGGAAGCUCCAUGCUCAGCUCAGCUCUCAACUACACUGCUCUAAGACUACUUGGUGAGAAUGUCGAUGAUGAGCAAGAUAUGUCCGUGCCAAAAACAAGGAAAUGGAUACAUGACCAUGGUGGUGCAAUGAUGAUAAAACUGGAAGCAAGAUGCUUGGAUUUUUUGACAGGUCAGGUGUAAACCCUACCCCCCAGAAUUGUUCCUUCUGCCAUCCUUGGUUCCUAUUCAACUAGGUACGCAGAGUCGGUGUGGGACUAUUCGAGCUUGUGCCUGCAAAACUCUACUGAUGGAUGAUUUCUGCCAUGUUUUUUAUUCAUUUUCAUGUGGAAGUAUUUGAUAUAUCCUGGGUAUGGAUGGUUUGUUCGAAGAAUGUUCCAGAAUUUGUGAAUCUUACUGUACAACAAUCAACACGAAUGCUGAAACAUUGAUUCUUGCUGAAGAGCGGCCACGCCAUGCACCAGCGAGAUCCGUGUGUGGAGUGCAGUUGAGCAAGAGUCGAUUCUAGGCGAGGUGUGUCACAUUGGUCUUCUGCUUCUCGCCGUCUAGCCUCACCGCCAAGCGGCCAGAUCCACACGAGGUGGAUGCCCCACGCAGGGCCCUCUCCCCUCCUUCCUCUCUUGUUUCCUCCAACUACCAUGUCUUCUUACCUUGUUCUAUUGUUUUUUCACCCAUGGGGAUAAAGAUGAGUUAAGGUUGUAACAUCCAUACUAAUUUGUUGGUUUGUCUCAACCAGUGAUCCAAAGUAAACCUAUGAACAUGAAUUUUUUGGGUAUACAUUGUCUCCUCCUCUGCCAAUUGAUUUUCUUCAGAUUAGUUGUAUCAUAAUUUUCAAGAAGAUUGCAAACCUAGCAAUGAAUGAGACUAUCAUCAGGAUUUAAGAUAGUUUAAUAUUAUAAUUAUUUCUUUUGAAGUUUCACUGUUUAUGUAGGUGACAAUGCUAGAUACAUCUGUAUCAUGGCACUUCUCCAGCAAACAAAAGCUUGGUGGCCAUCUACUUUACUUCCAGAGAGUUUGAAAACGUACUAUCACGCUAAUAUUUAGUAGAAAUGUAUGACAAAAAAAUAGUUAGAUGGUAUUACUAUGUAUACAUGUAUACCCAAAAAUAGCUUUACAGGUCUGCUGUUGCUUUAAUAUGUUGUAGUUUCUCUGUACAUUCUUAUGCUAGAUUUUGUUGUUCCCAUGUGACAUACUUCUAAAAUUCAGGUCCUUUGAACAUAUCAGCUUUUCUCACUUAUUCAGAUUAAUGCUAAGUGUUUUUUCUCUUGUAUACUGAUCUACAAAAUUACAAUUGAGAUAUUUUCCUCCUCUAUUUUUCUUCUUGUCACCGUAGCAGCUCUUAAUUCCUUUUGAGGUCCACCAAGAUAAUGCAAUAAUCCCUGGAAAAUAUGUUCUGUACUUAAAUAGACAUCAGACUGAAGAAUAGAAGGGUUGGAUGCAAGUAUUUUCAUAGUUGAUCUCCCUUUUGUCAUCUUUUCUGGCUUUUAUUCCACUACUCCCCAGUCAUGCAUGAAUGCUAAUACAUCAGAUUUAUGCAGUCAAAAUGUUUGACUAUUCAAUUAUACAUGUCAUGCUGCAGUGCUUACUUUCUUACCCCCUUCAGUAAGUGCUGCAAGACCAAACAUCGUUUUACACAUUUGUUUUUGUAAUGAUAGCAUUGACUUUGUUUUUUUCUGCUGCUUACUGAUGCAGAACCUGAGUUGCGGGUUACCGAACCUGAUGAAAACGGAAGUCACUCCGGCAGAGAUGUAGUGUUGUGCCAAUUUGAGGUUGAUGGGGUUAAUGAGGAAAAGGAUUAUGAACUAUGUGUAGAAAUUACCCAGUAUUGCUAUGCCAAGAAAGCAAGAUAGUCGAUGGUGGCAAGAAGCCAUGAACCAUCACUCUGCUAUUACUGAACAAGAUGAUAUCUAUUUGGAAAAAGGGCCCAUGGGAAAGAAUGCUGACGUUGGGGGCAAGACUCAUCGAGCAGGUGGCAAGUGAGAUCUUCAAAGCUUCGCAAGGAUGGCGCUUCGGGGUUCCGCGGUUGAAGGAUUAGGGAAGCUGCGACAUUUCAAGAGCUUGCUGCUGCUUUUGCUUUAGAUUUGUCUUCUCCUCCGUUUAGCCUUUUGUGAUGGAAACUUGUAAUGAUCUGACUAUCCGGGGGGUGGGGGCUGUGUCCCUAGCCACUCCUUGCGCGGGUUUCGCUUUUACUCUCUGUUCCGCUUCUUAUUGUAAGACUUCUAGACUGCUCGUGGCUUCGGCCUGGUUUCUAUAAUGGAAAUCGGAGGGGAAACCCUCUUU